AGACCCGAAACCCGGUGAUCUAGCCAUGGGCAGGUUGAAGGUUGGGUAACACUAACUGGAGGACCGAACCGACUAAUGUUGAAAAAUUAGCGGAUGACCUGUGGCUGGGGGUGAAAGGCCAAUCAAACCGGGAGAUAGCUGGUUCUCCCCGAAAGCUAUUUAGGUAGCGCCUCGUGAAUUCAUCUCCGGGGGUAGAGCACUGUUUCGGCUAGGGGGCCAUCCCGGCUUACCAACCCGAUGCAAACUGCGAAUACCGGAGAAUGUUAUCACGGGAGACACACGGCGGGUGCUAACGUCCGUCGUGAAGAGGGAAACAACCCAGACCGCCAGCUAAGGUCCCAAAGUCAUGGUUAAGUGGGAAACGAUGUGGGAAGGCCCAGACAGCCAGGAUGUUGGCUUAGAAGCAGCCAUCAUUUAAAGAAAGCGUAAUAGCUCAC
rnacentral:rRNA from 1 species